rnacentral:lncRNA from 1 species
UCAGAAAUAGAUGAGUUUUCUCUCUCUCUUCUCCAUCUCCGAUUCUCCAUGUUUACAUAGUAUCAGAGCGUGGUUCGCCUUCUCGGAGGUAUCCUUUCUCUUCUCGGUUCUUCCUGUUCAGUUUUAUUGAAUUAUUGGUGGUGACUCUGGAUUUUCCGAUUUGUUGGUGGUGAUUCUGGAUUUUUUCGAUUUGUUGGUGGAAUCGGAGAUGCUUUCAGUUUUUUGUGGAUUGUUGUUGCUUCUUCAAGCGUGGUGUUUAGGAUGAACUUCCGACACCUUUCGUGCUUGAUUCCGACGGUUUCAGAGGCAUUGAAUUUACAUUGAACAAAGCUAGUGUUUUCUCUGAAUUUUUGAAGGUCGUUCUUCUCCGAUAGCGUAAAAGUCCGGUAACCCUAUUCUCACUCUCGUUAAGAGCUUGCAUGUGAUUUUUUUGCUGGAAAAUCUGUUAUAUCGUGUAGUUCAGAGAUUUGAAUCAAUUUCUUCUCAUCAUUGUUGUUCUGUUUCUGAUGACAAAUAUGAACCCUAUUAAUCCCUCACCUAUUGACCUUACAAGACCUCUCUUUGUUUACUAUUAUGAUGUUCCUGGUGUUUCCCUUAUUCCUAUUCCCAUUCCGGAUAGUGGUUAUGGGGGUUGGAAGAGGAAGAUGAUAGUUGCC